AGCAGCGUGGCGCAGUGGAAACGCGCUGGGCCCAUAAAUUAGAGGUCGCUGGAUCAAAACCGUCCGCUGUUG
rnacentral:tRNA from 1 species